AACAUUAAUUUAAUAAAUAAAUUUACCAAUUAAUUAUACGAGACAUAAAUUUUUCUUUUUUUGAGAGAUAGAUAACAUACUGUCUGCUUUGUUUAUUUUAUUUAGAAUUUAAAAAUAAAUUUAACUGAAAAUGUGAAUCAAUUAGAAUUUGAAUUUAAGACCUCAGAUACCAACCAUCAAAUUAUUUGUCACUUGCGUUAGAAACGGUCGGUGGUGGCG
rnacentral:lncRNA from 1 species